GCUGAGUCAAGGGCGGAUCCCGCAUAGCCCAUAGAAUUACAGAUUUGUAGGGUGUACCGACUAGCUUAGAAUAAUAAUAAAGAGUGAGUCAACGUUUUCAAGAAACUGUUCUGAAAUUAUUAAAUAUGCCCAUGUAUUUUAUUUACAUAAUGUUCACUGUUAUUACGGUACUCUUUCAUUUAUUUUGUAUAAAACCAUGUUAUUUUAAGUUGUUUCACAUACCAGUACAUCUGUAUUGACCCCCUAUAUGUCAGGAUCUGAGACACAGUCCCGGGGUCCAACUAAUUAGUAGAUUGGGUUGUCCGAAGUUUGCAUUAGGUGAGCCUUCUUUAUUUUGGAAGACCCAUUUUUUAUUUGUUGUUUCCUUUUGGAUUUUGGGUCCGACUGGGGGCCUUGUCCCAGUUUUUACUUAUGUUGAUUGGUUUUGAUGUACUAGAGAUUUCACAGAUAGAUGUUAGAUGAUGUUGAAGGUUUAUUGAUUUCUGCAGACAGAUGUUAGAUGAUGUUCGAGGUUUAUUGAUUUCUUUUGACUGUUCAGUCGUAUGAUGUAUUGACCAUGUUUCUGUAUGAAUCUAUUUCUGCAAUCUCUUUAUGAUUGUAUGAACAUGUGUAUGAUUG
rnacentral:lncRNA from 1 species